rnacentral:rRNA from 1 species
UAGGGAAUCUUCCACAAUGGGCGAAAAGCCUGAUGGAGCAACGCCGCGUGUGUGAUGAAGGGUUUCGGCUCGUAAAACACUGUUGUAAGAGAAGAAUGACAUUGAGAGUAACUGUUCAAUGUGUGACGGUAUCUUACCAGAAAGGAACGGCUAAAUACGCGCCAG